rnacentral:rRNA from 1 species
GCUGGUGAUUUAUCGGAGGGGCCAUACCCGUUCCCAUUCCGAACACGGCAGUCAAGCCCUCUUGAGCCGAUGGUACUCCGAAAGGGGGAGAGUAGGUUGUCGCCAGCG